rnacentral:lncRNA from 1 species
GCAUCUACUUGUUUCCAAAGUUAUUUGGGUCAGCAUUUUCCUCCACCCACCACUUAAAACUGAUUUGUUUCAUACAUUUGAAAUGUAUGAAAAGCCAGAAAUCCAGGACCCACCCUGGCCUGCUCCCUUUUUCUCACCUACUGUGUUAAGGAUAAGUCAAUUGAGCUUCACUUCUCUAAUUGAAAUCACCGUGCUGAUGGAGUCUGUCUGUGGAAAUGAAAGGUGGCUACCAUAAUCUGUUGGGAGUUGAAUUAAUCCUCUGGGAGUGAGGCUGACCUAAUUACUCAGAAAUACUGGGCUUGCUUUCAUUCUGUGGAAUACAGCCAUGAGAAAGAGGCCAGCAUGCCAUUUCCUAAUCUUUUCUUGAAUUGCCUGAAACUCACCUAACAUGAAACUGAGAAGCCUUUUCAUUUGAAAGUGGUAUUUCUUAUGUUUUUUAUCUUUUUGCUUGAAAGUAUUCUUAAACUAAAGAAAGGAGAAACAGAAAAGGUGAAGAAGCCAAGAGGCUGGAGUUUCCUUUUGAAUGGAUAUUCAUCCAUGAAGCUGUUGAUUCUGUUUUUCUGUUCCUCCAGAUGUCUACACUUUUACCUCUGCUUGCCUGAUACAACCACCACCAGUCACCUCACAGAAUAACUCACUCCUUAAGAAUCUGAUCAGGAAUCAGCCUUCCCUGAUCACAAACACUGAGUUUAGAAGUCCCUCCACAGUGUCCCCCGUAACCCUGUGCUACCUCACUGCCUCAUAGUUUAGUGCCGUUUGUGUACAUGCCUAUCUUCGUCCAUGGAUCCAGAACAACUUGUAAAAAUGACUGUACUUAUCACCUUCAGUAUUCAAUGACUAAACUAUAAUUUUAACAUAUCUGGCAGAAUGAAUCACUUGGGGAUUUCUGCCAACACUACCAAUAUAUUACUCCUAAUUUGUAAUUAUUACUUAGCAUGGAUUAUAGUACCGGCUGUUGGAGAGCCAAUGUGGCAGACCCUAAGUGGAAUAAAAUGUCAGUAGCAGUCUAGGAGCAUAUAUUUAUUGGAAUAGAUCAUUCAUUCAUUUGUUCAUUAACUAAUUUGUUCAUUAAAUAAACAUUUAUUAAGCA